UACGUAGGGGGCAAGCGUUGUCCGGAAUCAUUGGGCGUAAAGAGCGUGUAGGCGGCCCGAUAAGUCCGCUGUGAAAAGUCCAGGGUUCAACCCUGGGAUGCCGGUGGAUACUGUCGGGCUCGAGUCCGGAAGAGGAGUGUGGAAUUCCGUGGUGUAGCGGUGAAAUGCGCAGAUAUCAGGAGGAACACCGAUUGCGAAGGCAGCUCGCUGGAACGUUACUGACGCUGAGACGCGAAAGCGUGGGGAGCAAACAGG
rnacentral:rRNA from 1 species